CCAGGCCAGAUACAAGAAAUCAGUUGCAUUCGGGCUUUCUAAAAAGAACCAGUGGCGACGAGCAGCGACUAAGUCAGCCAAGAAGCACAACGCGGCAAAUUAAUAGCAAACAAUUCGGCGAUUUGAAAAAAAGAGAAAAAAAUCCAAAAUUCUUAGUUAGAUUUACGACCUCAAAAAUAAUUAACGUCACUCCUCAAUAUGAUUACAAAAACACCCGAUUAUAUGAUAUCCGAAUGCGGCUAUCCCGAAUUAUGGCCAGGCGAUGUCAAGCAUUUACCCCUAACCAAAAUGAAUAGUAAAUUUUGGAAUUCCUAUACAUCAUGGUGCAAUGGCAAAACAGCAACAGCAAAAUUUAACAAACUAUUACCCCUAAGAGAGUCAUGGACCGAUUAUUAUACAAAGAAUCUCAUAAAACAAAACGAAGAAUCCAACAACAACAUCCACAAAUACAAUCGCCUUGCCUCAGUACAAAAACAACAAAAGAAUCAUUAUAACGAAGUAUUGGUGGUAUCCACCAGAAAUAAAAGCUUUCAUUGUAAGAGCCUUAGACACAACUUGGAUGCCGAGCAUAUCGUGACAAUGGAAUCACAGCGUCGAUCUCGAACAAAAAAUCUAGAUAAUGAUGUAGAUCAAUUUUGAGUGUUAAGUGUUAGAAUACGCAUUUGUGCAAUUAUUUAUAAAGAAAAUGUUAAGCGAAGAGAAACGAUGAUGAUGAUGUGGAGAUGUUAUGUUUUUAAUGUUAAUUUAAAUAAAAUAAUAUAUGAAUCCAAAA